rnacentral:rRNA from 1 species
AAGCGUCCGUAGCCUGUUCUAUAAGUUUCCGGUUAAAUCCAUUAGCUCAACUAAUGGGCUGCCGAAAAUACUGUAGAACUAGGGAGUGGGAGAGGUAGACGGUAUUCAGUAGGAAGGGGUAAAAUCCUUUGAUCUAUUGAGGACCACCUGUGGCGAAGGCGGUCUACCAGAACACGUUCGACGGUGAGGGAUGAAAGCUGGGGGAGCAAACCGGAUUAGAUACCCGGGUAGUCCCAGCUGUAAACGAUGCAGACUCGGUGAUGCCCUGGCUUGUGGCCAGUGCAGUGCCGCAGGGAAGCCGUUAAGUUUGCCGCCUGGGAAGUACGUACGCAAGUAUGAAACUUAAAGGAAUUGGCGGGGGAGCACCACAAGGGGUGAAGCCUGCGGUUCAAUUGGAGUCAACGCCAGAAAUCUUACCCGAAGAGACAGCAGAAUGAAGGUCAAGCUGGAGACUUUACCAGACAAGCUGAGAAGUGGUGCAUGGCCGUCGCCAGCUCGUGCCGUGAGAUGUCCUGUUAAGUCAGGUAACGAGCGAGAUCCCUGCCUCUAGUUGCCACCAUUACUCUCAGGAGUAGUGGGGCGAAUUAGCGGGACCGCCGCAGUUAAUGCGGAGGAAGGAAGGGGCCACGGCAGGUCAGUAUGCCCCGAA